UGGGGAAUAUUGGACAAUGGGCGAAAGCCUGAUCCAGCAAUGCCGCGUGAGUGAUGAAGGCCCUAGGGUUGUAAAGCUCUUUUACCCGGGAUGAUAAUGACAGUACCGGGAGAAUAAGCUCCGGCUAACUUCGUGCCAGCAGCCGCGGUAAUACGAGGGGAGCUAGCGUUGUUCGGAAUUACUGGGCGUAAAGCGCGCGUAGGCGGUUUUUUAAGUCAGAGGUGAAAGCCCGGGGCUCAACCCCGGAAUAGCCUUUGAAACUGGAAAACUAGAAUCUUGGAGAGGUCAGUGGAAUUCCGAGUGUAGAGGUGAAAUUCGUAGAUAUUCGGAAGAACACCAGUGGCGAAGGCGACUGACUGGACAAGUAUUGACGCUGAGGUGCGAAAGCGUGGGGAGCAAACA
rnacentral:rRNA from 2 species